rnacentral:rRNA from 1 species
GGGGGUAAAUUAAUAAUUAAAUAAUUAAUAAAAAAAUUUUUUAUUUAAAAUGAAGUUAAAGUAUAUUUGUUAGAAAAAAUUAAAAAGUUUAUAGGGAAGUAGUACUGUGAAGAAAAUUAAUAUAGGGGAAAUUUAAUAAAAAGUAAAUUUAUAAUAUUGUAUCUUGUGUAUCAGAGUUUAUUAAAUAUAAUAAUUUAUUUAAAUUAAUCUCGAAUUUAAAAGAGAUAACUAAUUAAAAAAGUUAAUGUUGAAUAAUUAUUUUUAAUAAUUAGUUUGAAAUGAAAUGUUAAUCGUUUUUAAAUAUAUCUAGUUUUUUUAGAAAUAAAUUUAAUUUAGAAUUUAAAUAAUUUUUUAAUUAAUUAUUUAAUUAUAAAAAUUUAAAAUUUAAUAUUUUGGGGGAUAAGCUUUAAAUUAAAUAUUUAUAAUAAAAAAUAAAAUAAUUAAAAUUUUUAAAAUUUAUAUUGUUUAUAAAUUAUAUUUUUUUAUAAAUAAUUUUAAUUAAUAUAAAAUUUAAUUGAUAAAAUUUAAAUUACUAUAAAAAUAAAUUUUAAAAUAAAAUAAAAAUUGAAAUAAUGAUAAAAUUAGUAUAAUAAUAAUAAUAAAUAGUUAAUUUAGUUAAAAUUAAAUUAAAGGAAUUCGGCAAAAAUUUAUAUUCACUUGUUUAUCAAAAACAUGUCUUUUUGUUUAAUAAUUUAAAGUCUAAUCUGCCCACUGAUUAAUUAAUUAAAGGGCUGCAGUAUAUUGACUGUACAAAGGUAGCAUAAUCAUUAGUCUCUUAAUUGGAGACUUGUAUGAAAGAUUUGAUGAAAUAUAGACUGUCUCUAGUUUAUUAAUAAAAAUUAAUUUUUUAGUUAAAAAGCUAAAAUUUAAUUAAAAGACGAGAAGACCCUAUAGAGUUUUAUAUUUAUUUAUUAAUUAUAUAUAUAUAUAUAUAUAUAAAUUUAUCUAAUUAAUAAAAAAUAUUGUAUUGGGGUGAUAAAAAAAUUAAUUAAACUUUUUUUAAAAUUUAAAUAUAAAUAAGUAAAAAAUUGAUCCAUUAAUAAUGAUUAAAAGAAAAAAUUACCUUAGGGAUAACAGCGUAAUAUUUUUUUUUUAGAACAAAUAAAAAAAAAAGUUUGCGACCUCGAUGUUGGAUUAAGAUAAAAUUUAAAUGCAAAAGUUUAAAAUUUUGAUCUGUUCGAUCAUUAAAAUCUUACAUGAUCUGAGUUCAAACCGGUGUAAGCCAGGUUGGUUUCUAUCUUUAAUGAAUUUAAAUAUUUUAGUACGAAAGGAUCAAAUAUUUAAAAUAAUUUUAUAAAAAGAAUUUUAUUAAAGUAAUUA